rnacentral:rRNA from 1 species
GCGCGAAACCUCCGCAAUGCACGCAAGUGCGACGGGGGGACCCCAAGUGCCACUCUUAACGGGGUGGCUUUUUUGGAGUGUAAAAAGCUUUAAGAAUAAGAGCUGGGCAAGACCGGUGC